GACGAACGCUGGCGGCGUGCCUAAUGCAUGCAAGUCGCACGCACCGUGCUUGCACGGUGAGUGGCGCACGGCUGAGGAACACGUGGGCAUCUGCCCGUCCGUGGGGGAUAACGGGGCGAAAGCCUCGCUAAUCCCGCAUACGUUCCCCUGGAAACAGGGGAGGAAAGCCUUCGGGCGCGGACGGAGGAGCCUGCGGCCCAUCAGGUAGUCGGCGGGGUAACGGCCCACCGAGCCGAUGACGGGUAGCUGGUCUGUGAGGACAACCAGCCAGACUGGGACUGAGACACGGCCCAGACUCCUACGGGAGGCAGCAGCAAGGAAUUUUCCCAAUGGGCGCAAGCCUGAGGGAGCAACGCCGCGUGCGGGAUGACGGCCUUCGGGUUGUAAACCGCUUUUCGUGGGGACGAUUGUGACGGUACCCGCGGAAUCAGCCCCGGCUAACUCUGUGCCAGCCGCCGCAGUA
rnacentral:rRNA from 1 species